rnacentral:rRNA from 1 species
GCGAGUCAACGUAGAAAUACGUGGCGAACGGCUCAGUAACACGUAGUCAACAUGCCCAGAGGACGCGGAUAACCUCGGGAAACUGAGGAUAAACCGCGAUAGGCCAUGAUUUCUGGAAUGGUUUAUGGCUGAAAUCUAUAUGGCCUCUGGAUUGGACUGCGGCCGAUCAGGCUGUUGGUGAGGUAAUGGCCCACCAAACCUGUAACCGGUACGGGCUCUGAGAGGAGGAGCCCGGAGAUGGGCACUGAGACAAGGGCCCAGGCCCUAUGGGGCGCAGCAGGCGCGAAAUCUCUGCAAUAGGCGAAAGCUUGACAGGGUUACUCUGA